GUCAAAGUUUUCGUGUGCUUCAGCCGAAUGCAUACCUAUUUUGCAGGUAUAAAUUUGUUUGUAGUAUUUUCAAAGCCUUUCGAUCAUUUCAAUGAAUUGAAUAUACGUGAAAUGCAUUAUUGGAUGUGUUGAAUGUUAUAGUGAGUGAUUUUGAAGAUAUUCAAUUGAUCAGAAGAGUUUUUGAACAAUGACGGUGAAUCCUGAUGCCGAAAAGGGAGACAACCUGCCGGAUAAAAUCCGGUGCUUUUUCGAUGUUAGCCUAGGAGGUCUGCCGGCCGGCAGAAUAGUUUUCGAACUUAGUCCCGAACUUGCUCCUAAAACAUGUGAAAAUUUUAGAGCGCUUUGCACGGGCGAAAAAGGUGUCGGACAAAAAACAGGAAAGCCUCUGCAUUAUAAGGGUAUCAUAUUCCAUCGAGUAGUGAAAGAUUUUAUGAUACAGUCGGGUGAUUUCUCUAACGGCAAUGGAACAGGAGGGGAAUCGAUUUAUGGCGGAACUUUCGACGAUGAAAGUUUUGUCCUAAAGCACGACAAACCAUUUCUGCUUUCUAUGGCUAAUCGUGGAAAGAAUACAAAUGGUUCUCAAUUCUUUAUUACAACGCAACCUGCACCCCAUCUUGAUAAUGUCCACGUUGUCUUCGGACUCAUAGUAUCCGGUCAUGAUUUAGUAAGGCAGUUGGAACAGUUACCAGUAGAUCGGAACUCUCGUCCAUUGCAGGAUGCUGUCGUUUCCAACUGCGGCGAAUUGAUACGACAAGUGAAGGAGAAGAAAGAAAAAAAGAAGAAGAAAUCGAAAUCCGGCUCGAGUGAUGAAUCCGAAGCGGGAGGAUCUAAAAAACGGAAAAAGGAAAAGAAGAAAAAGAAAGAUAAGAAGCACAAAUCUGAAAAAGAGAAUGGCAACACUUUGGAGGAAGGCGAGCUCAAAGAUGACGGCGAGAUACAUCCAAUGACAACCGUGACCAAAAUAGACCCGAGUGAAAUUCCAGAGGUUUCAAACAAGUAUCUGAUGCGUGGCGAUGGCAGAAAAGGACACGAUGAUCGGCGAACCGAUGAGGAAGACGAUGAGAGAGAUCGAGGAAGAAAGAGGGGCAAAGAUAGACCACAUGAACAGCGUGGGUUUGGUUGGUCCAAGAAACGCGUUCCAGUAUCCAAAAGUGGUAGAGUUAUCAAAGGACGUGGAAAUUUCCGGUAUCGCACUCCAUCACGCUCGAGAUCUCGUUCUCGUAGCUUCACACCGAUUCAUUGGAGGGUCGCUCAGAAGCGUACAAUCAAGAUGACGGAUUUGGAGAAAUUAGAAGAAGAAAAACGCCAACGGGAAGCGGAGAUUAGACGUCGUGAACUGGAGCGUAAAAAACGCCACGAAGAAAUGGCCAAAGACGCAUCGAAGAAAUCUUUCUUCGAACUGCAUCAAGAAAAAGAUCCGCAAGUUUCUUGUUCAAACAGCGACGAAGAAAGUGCCGGAAAAGACAAAGAAAAUGAAAAAGAAAAGCCAAUCGAUAUGAACGCACUUGACUACGAACACCAAGGGGCAUAUUCAGACAAUGAUGUUGUGGAUACACCUAAAAAAGUAAAAAAUGAAACAAUUGCGAAAGCUUUCGGAUUGGAUACGAAAACCAGAAAAGAAAGUGAUAUCGAUGAGAAAGUAGACAAAGGUAAACAGGAUCAUAAGAAAAACGACAAUGAAAAAAAGCUCGAGAAAGAAUGCAGUGAACGAAAAGAGCAACGCCGAGAGAAAGAAAUACGAAAGCAUGUAGAUGAGAAAGAAAAAAGUCAAGAAAAAGAAGACCGUGACAGGAAGCGGGAGAGUCGCAGAAGAAAUGAUUCCAGAAGCCGCUCAAGAGAACGCCGAAGAGACAACUCCAGGAGUAAAUCCAGAGAGCGGAGACGAGAUUAUAGAGACCACUCUCCGGUACCUUUCAGGGGUGGAAAUCGUCGACAGUUUGGGGGCCGUUGGAGUAAUCCGAGACGAGGAUUUUUCUCCCCCCGUGGGAGAAUGCAUCGAUUCGAUCGUAAUCGACGUUCCCGCAGUUACGAUCGCAAAAGAUCCCCGGCUAGGUACAGAAAAGAUCGAUCGAGAUCGAGAGAAUCCCGCUCGUAUGAACGCAAAAGCAGAAGCCGAUCUGUUUCGCGACAACGAAAUAAAAAUAGACGUCAUAGCAGCGAUUCCAGGUCCAGAUCAAAAUCGAAGAAACCGCAAAAAUCGCAUUCUCCAGAACUGCAGAAAGUAGCUGUUCCAGCAGUCAAAGAUGAACCAACCGAAGAGGAGAAGGCUCGCAUUCAGAAAGAAAAAAUGUUGAAGCGUGCUGAAACUCUUCUACUGCUUAAAAAUCAUAUGGAGAAAGAAAUCGAAGAGCAACAACGCAAGGCACGUGAAAAACAAAAACUAAAGGAAGAGAAAGAGAAACUAGAAGCGGCGCUAGAGCUUGCUCAGCUCGAAAAGCUCAAAAAAGAAACAAUCGAAAAGCUUCAAGCUCACGAUAGCAUGAAACUUGCAGCAGCGCAUAAGAUUCUGGAGACAGUUGUAUCUUCGGUAAAAUCCAAAAGCAGCACAAGCAGUACUAACAAAAAGAAGCCUCGACACAAACGCACUGCGUCAACCUCAUCAUCGUCGUCGGAGGAGGAUCGUUCACGUAAGAAGAAGAAAGAUAAAAAGAAGAAAAGUCGUUAUUCAUCAUCAUCAUCCUCCUCCUCAUCUGAUUGAACCAGUUCUCGUAGAAGAUCGUCACCUCGAAGGAAGACCACUCACUGAAGAUUUGACCGGCAAGAAUCCCUUACCUCAGGGUGGAUUCUUGAUAUGAUCCAGAAAUGGGGCUUUGAAACCUACACCUCGCGUUCUUCUGACUGGAAAAAGUCCGCAGUUUCUAUCGGGGACACCAAUACGGACACGUUGUCCCCUGGAUGCUGCCUGGAAAUUUUCCCGAACGCUUCUGAAACACGAGCCAAGAUGAACUGAAACCCCAAGCUAUUCUUGGAGUCUCGUAGUCAGUUGUGCGUCCGCUUACUACUUGUUGAACUGAGUUCAACCUCAAGACAUCCUAUUGACCGUCUUCUCAUUGCCCCAUCUUUGGUAGAAAUCCAACCAUUACUUGGAGUACGGCAAACUCUAAAAAUAUGGCAUGAUUAUUACAAUUUUGAAUGCGAAAUGCAUGUUAAUGAUUAAAAUUGAAAAUACUUGCAAGUGUUCGUACUCGAUGUACGAAAAAUUACAUGGUAAAAGUAAAGGAUACGAUGUAUACAAAGUAUUCGUGAAAAUUACGUUAAUUAAUAUAUUAGGAAUGCUUUGUAAUUAAUUAUUCGAGAAUAUGAAGAUAUAGAAAGGAAUCAUCCAGAAUGGCAACCCCUAGACAUAUGCGGCACAAUAGAUAGAUGGGGCAAAAAUAUUGACUCUGUAAAUCAUGUCCUUUUUUCAUCGCUUAACGAUACACUUAUUAACAACAGAAACCAAUAUUUUAAGGAUUGAAUUGAAAAAC